UAGCUCAGCGGUACAGCACUUGCCUGGCAAGCAUGAGGCCAUGAGUUCGAUUCUCGGU
rnacentral:tRNA from 1 species